GAUGAACGCUAGCUACAGGCUUAACACAUGCAAGUCGAGGGGAAACGACAUCGAAAGCUUGCUUUUGAUGGGCGUCGACCGGCGCACGGGUGAGUAACGCGUAUCCAACCUGCCCAUCACUUGGGGAUAACCUUGCGAAAGUAAGACUAAUACCCAAUGAUAUCUCUAGAAGACAUCUGAAAGAGAUUAAAGAUUUAUCGGUGAUGGAUGGGGAUGCGUCUGAUUAGCUUGUUGGCGGGGUAACGGCCCACCAAGGCAACGAUCAGUAGGGGUUCUGAGAGGAAGGCCCCCAACUUUGGAACUGGGACACGUCCAAAACUCCUACGGGAGGCGGCAGUGAGGAAUAUUGGCCAAGGGGGGGGGGCUUGAACCAGCCAGGCGGCGUGAAGAAGGCCGGCCUUAUGGGUGUUAACCUGCUUUAUUAGGGGAAUAAAGUGGGGGUCGUGCCUCUUUUGUAUGUACCUUAUGAAUAAGGACCGGCUAAUUCCGUG
rnacentral:rRNA from 1 species